rnacentral:rRNA from 1 species
AGAGUUUGAUCAUGGCUCAGGACACGCUGGCGGCGUGCUUAACACAUGCAAGUCGAACGGUAAGGCCCUUCGGGGUACACGAGUGGCGAACGGGUGAGUAACACGUGGGUGAUCUGCCCUGCACUUCGGGAUAAGCCUGGGAAACUGGGUCUAAUACCGGAUAGGACUCCUGGCUUCAUGGUUGGGGGUGUAAAGCUUUUGCGGUGUGGGAUGGGCCCGCGGCCUAUCAGCUUGUUGGUGGGGUAAUGGCCUACCAAGGCGACGACGGGUAGCCGGCCUGAGAGGGUGACCGGCCACACUGGGACUGAGAUACGGCCCAGACUCCUACGGGAGGCAGCAGUGGGGAAUAUUGCACAAUGGGCGCAAGCCUGAUGCAGCGACGCCGCGUGAGGGAUGACGGCCUUCGGGUUGUAAACCUCUUUCAAUAGGGACGAAGCGCAAGUGACGGUACCUAUAGAAGAAGGACCGGCCAACUACGUG